CGUGCUUAACACAUGCAAGUCGAACGAUGACUUUUGUGCUUGCACAGAAUGAUUAGUGGCGAACGGGUGAGUAACACGUGAGUAACCUGCCCCUGACUCUGGGAUAAGCCUGGGAAACUGGGUCUAAUACUGGAUAUGCACCGUAGACCGCAUGGUUUUUGGUGGAAAGAAUUUUGGUCAGGGAUGGACUCGCGGCCUAUCAGCUUGUUGGUGAGGUAAUGGCUCACCAAGGCGACGACGGGUAGCCGGCCUGAGAGGGUGACCGGCCACACUGGGACUGAGACACGGCCCAGACUCCUACGGGAGGCAGCAGUGGGGAAUAUUGCACAAUGGGCGAAAGCCUGAUGCAGCGACGCCGCGUGAGGGAUGACGGCCUUCGGGUUGUAAACCUCUUUCAGUAGGGAAGAAGCGAAAGUGACGGUACCUGCAGAAGAAGCGCCGGCUAACUACGUGCCAGCAGCCGCGGUAAUACGUAGGGCGCAAGCGUUAUCCGGAAUUAUUGGGCGUAAAGAGCUCGUAGGCGGUUUGUCGCGUCUGCCGUGAAAGUCCGAGGCUCAACUUCGGAUCUGCGGUGGGUACGGGCAGACUAGAGUGAUGUAGGGGAGACUGGAAUUCCUGGUGUAGCGGUGAAAUGCGCAGAUAUCAGGAGGAACACCGAUGGCGAAGGCAGGUCUCUGGGCAUCUACUGACGCUGAGGAGCGAAAGCAUGGGGAGCGAACAGGAUUAGAUACCCUGGUAGUCCAUGCCGUAAACGUUGGGCACUAGGUGUG
rnacentral:rRNA from 1 species